rnacentral:rRNA from 1 species
GAUGAACGCUGGCGGCGUGCUUAAGACAUGCAAGUCGAGCGGCAGCAUGACCUUCGGGUUGAUGGCGAGCGGCGGACGGCUGAGUAACGCGUAGGAAUAUACCCCAAUGUGAGGGAUAACUGCCCGAAAGGGUGGCUAAUACCGCAUGUGGUCUUCGGACUAAAGGAUUUAUCCGCUUUGGGAAUAGCCUGCGUUCGAUUAGCUUGUUGGUGAGGUAAUGGCUCACCAAGGCGACGAUCGAUAGCUGGUCUGAGAGGAUGACCAGCCAGACUGGAACUGAGACACGGUCCAGACUCCUACGGGUGGCAG